rnacentral:rRNA from 1 species
GGAUGAGCUGUGGUUAGGGGUGAAAUGCCAAUCGAACCCGGAGCUAGCUGGUUCUCCCCGAAAUACGUUGAGGCGUAGCGUCUCGUGCUCCAGCAGGGGGGUAAAGCCACCAUUUCGGUGCGGGCUGCGAGAGCGGUACCAAAUCGAGAUGAACUCUGAAUACCCUGUGUGUAGCGAGGCAGUCAGACUGUGGGGGAUAAGCUCCAUGGUCGAGAGGGAAACAGCCCAGACCGCCAGCUAAGGUCCCCAAAUCAACACUAAGUGAUAAAGGAGGUGGGAUUGCCCAGACAACCAGGAGGUUUGCCUAGAAGCAGCCAUCCUCAAAGGAGUGCGUAAUAGCUCACUGGUCGAGCGAUCCUGCGCCGAAAAUGAAUGGGGCUAAGUGUUGUACCGAAGCUGCGGAUUUAUGGUAGGGGAGCGUUCUAUGUGGGGCGAAGCGUUAGCGUGAGCGGGCGUGGACUGCAUAGAAGUGAGAAUGUCGGCUUGAGUAGCGAAAACAUGGGUGAGAAUCCCAUGCACCGAAACCCUAAGGGUUCCUCCGGCAGGCUCGUCCGCGGAGGGUUAGUCUGGACCUAAGGCGAGGCCGAAAGGCGUAGUCGAUGGAUAACAGGUCAACAUUCCUGUACCGGUUAUGUUUUGGGAAGAGGGACGGAGAAGGCUAGCCAAGCCAGAUGUUGGUUACUGGUUCAAGCGUUCGAGGCGUUGAGGAUCGGCGAAAACGAUCCGAGCUGAGGCGUGAGUACGAGCUGCUACGGCAGCGAAGUUGGUGAUGUCAUGCUUCCAAGAAAAGCUCUAUACCCGUUAAGGCAUAACUGCCAGUACCCGAAACCGACACAGGUGGGGUGGUAGAGAAUACCGAGGUGCGCGAGGUAACUCUCUCUAAGGAACUCGGCAAAAUGGCCCCGUAACUUCGGGAGAAGGGGUGCCACAGCAAUGUGGUCGCAGUGAAGAGGCCCUGGCGACUGUUUACCAAAAACACAGGUCUCCGC